rnacentral:lncRNA from 1 species
CCUAAAGAAUAUCUUAUGUAUAAUCCCCCUCAAAUAACCCAGAUCAAACAAUAACCUUUCUCAGAAAAAGCUUUAGAAAGAUGCCAGAGUUUCCGACUUGGAUGACUCUUUCAAAACAAUUUUUCCCAGUCGGAGCUCGUUUUUGUUUGAGUUUCCAGUUGUCUUGAUCGCACUGAAGUCGGAAACCAGAGAUUUUCGUUUUUACAGUUGUGAACGUGGCAGCACUCUACACUGCUGGACAACUACGGAUUGACUACAGCUCAGAUGAAUGAAGUCAACUCAGGAUCCUAGUAAAGUGCAGUGGUGUAUGGGUCCCCCUGACUCCCACCCCCUGACCCCCACCCACUGAACCGCACCUCAGGCUAGAGCCGCGAUAACAAGGGGUCAGUGAUAGGAGGCGGGACAUUCCUAAUCUGCAAAGGGGCCAUGAGGAAUAUAAGAAGUCCGGUCAGCCCAGCCUGGCCCUCAGAGCCAACCUAGCAUAGAGACCCACACAUCUGCUAGAGAGAGCUGCGCUCAGCGCCCACUCUUCUGGCUAGCCUUCACCCAAGCAGCAGUUGAUGAGAUUUCAUCAAGACGACUUUACUUCAGAGAGGGAUUGAACACAUAACCAGCUGCACACACCAAUCAGCUAACUAAUAAC